AUUGUACUCAACAGGUAAAAAUAUUCUAACGAAACUGCAAUAAUUUUUUUUCACGACAUUUAACAUACAUGGAAAACAAACAUUCUUAUUCUGCAUAAUGACUGAUGCUUUCAAUUGAUUCGCUCCAGCACGGUGCAAUUACGUGCUUAGGCGGUAAAAGUUUAUAACAGAGCAUUACUUUGUACUCCCACCAAACAAACGACAAUUAAUCAUUGGCGCGAACGAAUUCAUUACAUAACCUAGCACAGUAUUUAUUUAUCGUAAACUCUGGAUUAGUCACGAGCGCACAGCGGUUGGGGACACAAAAAAUUUUAUCUUUAUUGACUCCGGCUAUAUACAAGGAUAGAUAGAGAGAAGAACGAAGAGGGAUUGAGAAUCCAAACACUUGAAGAAAUUUAAAGGUCAAUGUUUUGCUAUGAAUUUAGUUUGACUCGACUGGUUCUUAGAAGGUUUCCCUAUAGUAUCUUGUAUAUAUAUUCCACGAGAAGAGCUCGAGCAUAUAGCAAUAUGAAUAAAUAUGUUGAAAACGGAUUUAAAAAAAAGAAAAAAGGAACAUUCCCUUUCACUGGUUUCAUUUGCACCUUUCGUCGUCUUGGUUUGCCUUAUACUGGAAUUCUUUUACGAUAAUGGGAAUUAAACUGCGAGGAAUGAAAGAGAGGGGAAACGUCAGUAUGGUCAUUACGCGAAAUUAAUUCUGUCACCGGUCAUUUAAUGAUCUCUAACACGGUUAAUUUAUGACGAAGAGCCGUCAUUAUAGUUUAAUUCGAUAAAUAUGUUUAUUACGAUACGUUUCUGAGAAUUUAUUACAAAUGAUGAUAAAGGUUGAAUUUAAAUAAUUUUACAUCAAUUUUUUUUUUUUAUCUUUUUUAAAAGUUCAAAUCCAUUACGUUAUGAAAUAUAUCAACAGGUUUUAUACAUCAGUAAAAAAAAUUAAAAGAAAAAUGUUGGUUCGAUAUCAUUUCAAAACUACCGCCAAAAUGAAAUAAAUAAUUCAACCAGUCUUUGACUAUCAUUCAUAUACCAUAUUGUUUAAUUCAACAUAAUAUAUGGAAGAAUAGCAGUUUAAAAAUUAUAAUAAUCGUGAAAUUAAAAAAAAAAUUUAUAAGAAUUAACAAUAAGCGAACGAAUUGAUACAAACAUGCUUUUUAUACCGCAUAAAUUUACGACCUUCGAAUUAUGUUCAAAUUAUAUCAUACUAAAAAAUUGAAAAAUCUAAAAAAACAUGCUUCCGUUUAAAUUUAAUAAUUCGUCAAGUAUAAAGAAAGAAAUGAACAGACGAAUCUCUCUCAAUAAAAUUAUUAUAUACGAAUGGUUGCAGUAGGCCAAAGAACCGAAGUAUGUAUAAUAUUUAUUCGUCAUUCGCUCAAGCACUUCUUGCGUACAUAGUAUGUUCGAGAGUCAUCCCCACCACUGGAAUCCUCUUGGACCCAGUGAAGCGAGAAUAAUUUCACAUCGAAGCAAUACAACAUAAUAUUUCUUGAAAAAAACUUCAACGCUCACUCUCUCCCUCACUUCUCGUUCUGUCAUUUUCUACUCGUCGACAAAAAUAAAAUAAACUAAAGAAUUUCACCCGCUUCUUGCACAUAUAGAAUCUAUUCUAUUUAAUACAAAUACGAA
rnacentral:lncRNA from 1 species